CCCAUCAGCAACCAGACUCAACAUCUGGACAUCACUCACCUCUGUCAGAUACAUCCAGAUCAGCGUCUACAUUUUUACAUAGUGCUGAUCUCUACUCCUGCUGGAUCUUUACUGAUUGUUGCUGUAGUUGUGAUUUGCUGCAUCUGCAAGAAAUGUAGAAAAACAGUUCAGAACCAGGAUGAAGACAGAACUGAUUCAACAUUGUAUAAACCAACAACACGAAAAAAGAAAUCAAAGACGGACGCUGUGUAUGAAAAUGUCCCCAAAAAACAGUGAUCUAAUACUGAAUCUACUGGAACUGAUGUUAGAGGACAAUAACUCACUCUUUUGGUUUUGUUCACAUUUAUUCUAUGACAGUAUGUCAGUUUAGUCUUCACUCUUUGUAUUGUAACUUUUGGUGUUAUUGUGAUGUAUGA